rnacentral:rRNA from 1 species
ACGUAGGUGGCGAGCGUUAUCCGGAUUUACUGGGUGUAAAGGGCGUGUAGGCGGUUUUGUAAGUCGGAUGUGAAAUUCCCAGGCUUAACUUGGGAGCUGCAUCCGAAACUACAGAACUUGAGUACUGGAGAGGAUAGUGGAAUUCCUAGUGUCGCGGUAAAAUGCGUAGAUAUUAGGAGGAACAUCAGUGGUGACAGCGACUAUCUGGACAAUACCUGACGCUGAUGCGCGAAAGCGAGGGGAGCAAAAAG